rnacentral:lncRNA from 12 species
GCGCCUCCAGCCGAGGGAACCCCGCGGGCUCGACGUGCGCAGCCCAGCGGCCCCCUCCUGAGUUCCCGCCCGGGCGCCGCGCACCUGCCCGGGCGCGCGCCAGAGGGAGCCCCUGGCCGCCCGGCGCCGGGGGAGCGGCGGCCCGCGCCGCCUUGCGUUGGUGAGAAAGUUCCAUCUAGAGGCGGCCGCGCGCCACUGCAGCCCACACCCCAGGCCGCCAGGUGAGCCGGGAGCGAGCGGCCGGCGGCGGGGGACGCGGCGGACCGGGGCACAGCCGCCCGCCCCAGGGAGAAGGGGGCAGAGCCCCGCAACGAGCUCCUCCUCCCGCGUUCGGCAGCUCCGCCAGGAAUUUCAACUUUCUAAGCAGAAUGAACGUCGUGAGCAUCAGCACAGAAACUAUAGAAAGUAA